GCCCUUGCACUCUGCCGGUCUUACUGCCAUUGCACGCAGAUGGGUUUCCACACUAGUGCUUUUCUAUCGCCUUAAAGUCCGUGCCUUUCUUUCAGGGUGCUGUCAACUUGUUUGUCGUUAUAAACAGCCACAGUUCAGCCUCAGCUAUCCCCCUUCGUCCACCAUCGUCACGAUACAGGAUGCGAGGCAAGGCACUGCACUUGAGUGAUCCUUGACGUGGACCUCAAGGAGAGCAUGUCCUAUUGCAUGCGGGUUAGACGCGUCCACGCCCCGCCCCACGAAAAAAGGCGUCGGCUGAUAUGGCCUCAGAUCUGGGGAAGGGCCCUCCUUAGGACUGAGUCAUACUAUGCAGCCACUUCUGCACAGUGGGAUAGGACCUCUACUCUCGCCUGUAUUGUUUUAAGAAAACAGAAAGGGGGAACUGUGGUGAGCCGCUUCUGCCGUUUCUGCAGACUAUGGUCGCCAUUACAAGAUGGCGCUGGCUCCGCUGUGGUCUGUGACAAACAACUCCUUAUUUGGGAGAGUUGGCGCAUGGUUUUUCACCACCCUAUGAGAAAGCUCCAC
rnacentral:lncRNA from 1 species